rnacentral:rRNA from 1 species
AUACGUAGGGAGCGAGCGUUGUCCGGAAUUACUGGGUGUAAAGGGAGCGUAGGCGGGAUGGCAAGUCAGAUGUGAAAACUAUGGGCUCAACCCAUAGACUGCAUUUGAACCUGUUGUUCUUGAGUGAAGUAGAGGUAAGCGGAAUUCCUGGUGUAGCGGUGAAAUGCGUAGAUAUCAGGAGGAACAUCGGUGGCGAAGGCGGCUUACUGGGCUUUUACUGACGCUGAGGCUCGAAAGCGUGGGGAGCAAACAGGAUUAGAUACCCUGGUAGUCCACGCCGCAAACGAUGAUUACUAGGUGUGGGGGGACUGACCCCUUCCGUGCCGCAGUUAACACAAUAAGUAAUCCACCUGGGGAGUACGGCUGCAAGGUUGAAACUCAAAUGAAUUGACGGGG